CAAAGGAAUUGACGGACCCGCACAAGCAGCGGAGCGUGUGGUUUAAUUCGAUGAUACACGAAGAACCUUACCAGGGUUUGACAUGUUGGUGGUAGGGAUCCGAAAGGUGACCGACCCUUCGGGGAGCCUUCACAGGUGCUGCAUGACUGUCGUCAGCUCGUGUCGUGAGAUGUUCGGUUAAGUCCGCUAACGAGCGCAACCCUCGCUGUGUGUUACAUGUGUCACACGGGACUGCCGGUAACAAGCCGGAGGAAGGUGAGGAUGAUGUCAAGUCAGCAUGGCCUUUAUAUCCUGGGCUACACACACGCUACAAUGGGCAGUACAAUAGGUUGCGAAGCCGCGAGGCGAAGCCAAUCCCUAAAGCUGUCCUCAGUUCAGAUUGCAGGCUGCAACCCGCCUGCAUGAAGAUGGAGUUGCUAGUAACCGCAGGUCAGCUAUACUGCGGUGAAUACGUUCCCGGGGUUU
rnacentral:rRNA from 1 species